rnacentral:rRNA from 1 species
GAUGAACGCUAGCUACAGGCUUAACACAUGCAAGUCGAGGGGCAGCACAGUGUAGCAAUACACGGGUGGCGACCGGCGCACGGGUGCGUAACACGUAUCCAAUCUGCCCGUUACUCGGGGAUAGCCUUCUGAAAGGAAGAUUAAUACCCGAUGGCAUGUAUUUCCGGCAUCGGAGAUACAUUAAAGAUUUAUCGGUAACGGAUGAGGAUGCGUACGAUUAGCUAGUUGGCGGGGUAACGGCCCACCAAGGCGACGAUCGUUAGGGGUUCUGAGAGGAAGGUCCCCCACACCGGAACUGAGACACGGUCCAGACUCCUACGGGAGGCAGCAGUGAGGAAUAUUGGUCAAUGGUCGAGAGACUGAACCAGCCAAGUAGCGUGAAGGAUGACUGCCCUAUGGGUUGUAAACUUCUUUUGUUUGGGAAUAAAGUCAGGUACGUGUACCUGUUUGUAUGUACCAUUCGAAUAAGCAUCGGCUAAUUCCGUGCCAGCAGCCGCCGCAGUAA